rfam:Ricinus communis ctg_1100012351114, whole genome shotgun sequence.
GGGCUUAUGAUGAUAAUUUCAAUUAUCUUAGCGGAUUUCAGUGAGAUAUUUUUGUAAAAAUUUUAUCAAUGAUCUGAUUGUUACACACACUGAAGCCC